CCUCUCUCUCCCUCUCCAGUUUUUAUCCGCGUAUAUCUCUCACUACAACGUCCUCUCGUAUCUUUACUACUACUACAAUGUCGUUUCUCCAGUUCUUAACCGCUCCUGAACCUCACGCCGUUUCUUUUUCAAAUUUCAAAACCCUCUCUCUCUCUCCCUACAAUCUCUCCCCUUGACGCCUCCCUGCGAUUCCUCCUUUGAGUGCAGGCCAGGCCUUCCUAGAUUGAGGGCAAUCGGCCGAGUUCGUCGAUCAGAAAAUUACAGUGGAGAGAGAGAGAGAGAGAGAGAGAGAGAGAGAGAGAGAGAGAGAGAGAGAGAGAGAGAGAGAGAGAGAGAAUGGAGGAUCCCUAUUGGAGAUACGGUGCUUCUGCUGAUAGAGCAUACCACUAUCGAGGGAGGCGGCGAUAAUGGUGCCAUCGAGGUACUGGCAGCCGUCGCCGAGCACGAGGAGGCUGUCAACUUCGCUGGGAGGAGGUUAUUGGCUGGGAUUAGGGUUUCGCCAGUGAGGUUGGAUUCGGCUAGUAAGAAGAAGAUGGCGAGCAUAGCUGCUGUGAUUCGAAGGUUUCAGAGGUACUCGUGGGGUCGGUGAAGGGGAGUGGGAAGAAUUGGGGUGAGUUACCGGUGGAGUCGGUCGUGGCUUCUAUCGAGGUGAAAGAGAAGGGUUCUGCUAGGAACAAGCCGGAUUUGCAAGCUAUUUUGCGAACUCAGGCUAGUUAUUAUCUUGAAAAAGCGGACUCUGUUUUGUGGCAGCUCACACGUCUGUGUUGCAAAGUAUGCAUUUGCUUUGGCAUCAAAAGUUUUUAUUUGAUGAAGUGGAUUAUGUUAAUGAUGUGGAAAGGGGUGUUGUUUGGGAAGAAGUUAUUAUCAUGCUUCCAAGGCAUAUUCACGCAUUUAAGUGUUGGUGUCAGGCUUGUUGACAAUACAGUGUGGAUUUUCCUUUGCUUUCACUUCUUUACAGCAACGUCAUGUCAUUGUUGAAUUCUACUUUUGAGCUUAUCAUUACAAUUGCUUUGGAUUCAACCGUUAUUUUCCUUUGCUGAUAAGGGGGGCUAUGUAUUAGCUAUCUAAUUGCAGCACGCUCUGGAAUAUUACUGAAGGGGCGAUGAUAACAAGGUCUGAGCUUUUUAGAUUGGUUUCCGUCUCUUGACCAAUUUUUAGAUUGGUUUGAGCUUUUUCUGUUGAAUCGGAGUGCAAGUGUAUAGGGCAUUUUUUUUCUUGUGGUGUAUAUAUUGCGGCAUUCCCUUAAUGCCUUUUUGGUAAUAUAAUCUUUUCCUUAUCAAACAAAAGAUAUCAAGGUCUGAACAAAAGGAUACAGAAAUAUGAUAACAUGUAUUGGCAUGGUUGCUCUUGAGUUUCCUUUUCAUAGGCAUGCCAUCAGAUGUAGGCUUCCAACAUGUUCUAUCGGUUAACAGCCUAAAAUUCUUUCUGCAGCUACCCAAAUCCGUUGUGCUUGACCCACAUAACCUAGAAUUGUGGUUAAAAGUAUCAUUUUUCAUGCUUUCUUUUCUUCAUUGUGCUUUUAAUUUCCUAGAUUUUUUUUGAAGAGGUUUUAUUUCCUAGAUUGAUUAACUCACUUCCAAACUGCUUGCUGUAUGCAUAUUUUUCUUCUCUGGUAGAUGGAGAGAUUCGACAAAAAGGCUCAACAGAGGAUAUGAUAUUUAAGAUCCCUUAUUUGAUUAGCCACAUAAGCUCCAUUAUGACUCUUCUUGAAGGAGAUGUUAUUCUAACAGGUAGAGAGGGUUGCACGUUUUUUUUUUUUUUUAGUAUAGCUCCAGAAAAGGUCUUUUUGAAGUGGAUAUAUAUCCACCUUAAGAAAGAUGGCUACAAGAAAACUAUAACCAAUUUCUCGUCUGACUUGAAGCUAUUUAGCACUUCUAUCUGUAUUGUAGUAUUGGAAUCAUAAAGAAAGCCUUGGUUCAUAAAAAUUGUAAAAAUUGGUUGGGCUGAUAUCAUGCCAUAUAUUCUUAAAAAUUGUAAACAAAAAUGUGGCAAGACAUGGAAAUUGUUGAAUUACAUUCAGCUUACUUAUGAGGAGAUCAGCUGUGAGGGUUUUGUAGUGGUAGUGCAUGUUAGAGUUGAUUUUCCUAUUUGCCAUAGAGCUAGAAUAUAUUAAAUAAAAUCACUUGUUUGAUUCUGGGGAAGGGCAAGUCAUAUGGCAAAAAUUAGUUUCAUAAAAAUCUAGCAGAAUUGUUGCUUCUUGUUUGUUUAGUUGUGAAAGAAAGACAAGGAUUUUCUCAAGCACUGCUAUCCCUUUUCUUUAGUAGUACUAACCAAAAAGAGAAUACGGCUGUCUAUAUUUGUUUAAGAACUAUCCUUUUUCUUUUUGGCUACAAGAACAAAACACCAUACGUAGAUUAACUUUCCAACCACCAAUUACACCAAUGAGCAGGUAGAAACGUGCGAAGCAGGAGGCAUUACACGAGUAGAAUGUAUACAAAGGAGAGGUUUUACUUUGUGGAACAUAGCAAAAAGGGGAUGGAAGUUGAAAUGGGAAUGGAGGCGGAAAAGCACAUGAAGCACUAAAUACGGGGAUUGCAUAGGAGGAACCGUCACAUUCUAUGCAUUGAUAUAAUAAUAAUUGUUUUCAUACGAGUAUGUGUAAACGAAUAUACACAGACACAUGAAAACGUUUUCUUUUCAUUGCAAGCAAUUGCCACAAGAUAACAACAUAUAUAUGAGUUCACAUCUUUCGAACUAGCAUUAUCUCUCCUCAACUUGGUAGGUUUCUAUAGUCUGAUGGUUGCUACAGAUUUCUUUUUGGGUUAGCAACUAUUCUCUUUUGAAUUUAUGGUCGAGAUGCUGCUCAUCGAAGUUUUAACUCUGAUACUAUCUCUAUGGGAGUACAAGCAUUGUAUUACUGCGGUUGUUCUACUUGCAUUGCAUUUGUAGCCAUUGUUCUAGUAAGCAUAUCUGUACAUGGAUAGUUCCCUCGAACUAACUUGUUGCACUUCUUGAUCAGGCAUGACAUUGGAAAGGACAAGGAUAGUGGAUUUGAACUUUUGAAAUGCUAUAUAAUUUCUACGCCAGCUCUAGGUUGCAUGUCGUGGAGAUCAAUAAGGCACUACUCACUUACAUUUUGGUCCUCUCUUUUUGAUAUAUAAAGG